UACAGAGGGGGGCAAGCGUUGUUCGGAAUUACUGGGCGUAAAGGGCGCGUAGCGGCCGCCUAAGUCAGACGUGAAAUCCCUCGGCUCAACCGGGGAACUGCGUCUGAUACUGGGUGGCUUGAGUUCGGGGAGAGGGGAUGCGGAAUUCCAGGGUGUAGCGGUGAAAUGCGUAGAUAUCUGGAGGAACACCGGUGGCGAAGGCGGCAUCCUG
rnacentral:rRNA from 1 species